UGCACACAGAGGUUUGUUGUAACCUCUUAGAUGUGGGAGUCAGAAAGGAAGAUCAUAUCAUUACGAUCAGAACAACGAUGUGUUAUGAUCGUAACAAUUGUGUAAUAUAGCUGAAAUAUGUGCUGAGGACAUGUGAUAUACUUCAGGACUGUAGUCAUCAGCAUAUACUUUACCAUGGGAGAUAUAUACAUAGGAUCUCAGUAUAAACUAUUGAACACCAGCACAUAGCUCCAAACAGCGUUAUCUUCAUGAUAAAGUUAUGUAAAAACAUGUCUGUAUUUUCUUGCUCCUCUCAUUUGUAUUUCCUCUCUCUUCCUUGUAGCAUUCCUCCAGUACGUACCUCACCUGAUUGGUUACAUUUGAUUUCCCCUUCCUGGUGAUGAGUACUAGGCUCUGGCUGGUUCGGAUCAGGCAGGAAGUGGAUCAGACGGGAAGUAGGUUGAUGACUGAGGUACACUGGGAAAGAUAAGGGUGCCAUGGCAACUGUUGUACAGUGGUGUGUGAUUGAACGCGCUAGUCAGGAGAUGUUUGUAUUCAGCAGAACGUGUGUGUGGUUUCGUACUCCCAGGCAACUGUUUAAACAGUAUCAGUACUGUAGACUCAGUAUCCAUCUUUAAUCAGGUCUGUAUUUACAUAUCAACACGAGGCUCUGAGAUGAUUAACUAGUGACCGACCAUAGAAUGUUAUGGCCAAUAUGCUUGAAACCACCUUGCUCUUUCAAUGGAAUUAACAAUUAGAAGCCUUAAUCCACAUUUUGAAGUGACCAAACGGGAUUCAUUACAAGCGUGAUGCCACCACUGGCUCUCCUAGUUGUCAGUGUGACUCUUCUGUACACCCUCUACACACACACUCCAUUCCAAUGUACUCUGUCUAAUGUUAAUUUUGGUUGUUCCCAUGCACUCCGUGACCACCAUCACGCCACCUUUUGGCCAAUCCUGGACCUGCUCUUUCUCUCUCUCUGCCAUCAGAGGUUAUGGCAUACUGAAUGAGAGCUAUCGGGCCUGUUGCUACAGAAACCAAAGUGCACACAUCAGAGCCUGUAAGAUCAGCCACACCUGUCUCUCCUAUGACAAACUCAUGAUACAUAAAGAGGCAACAUUUCACUGUAGGAACAAUCCAUUUCACAUGGGAGCAGGGGGGAAUAUGAACAAAUGAAUUUAGAACAAAAGGGAUCCAGAACACCUAAAUCAUUCUUUAGUAAAUAAAAUUGUAUGGCCUCCAUCACCUGCAUUCUACCAUUCAGAAAUCCUGAGCAUUGCCUGUAAAUAAUAAUUUGAUAUACUGUACAACAGAAAUCCUUGUUAUUACAUCUUAGUGGCUUUAGAUGAAUUAUUCAGCUGUUUUGUAGCUGUGGAGGACUACAGUGUGAAGUUGUUUCGAACCACAUUUCACCUAGAAAGAAUAAUCAGACUCAGAUUUUUGUUCUUAAAUGUUUUGUUUUAUGGAAAUUGUUUAAUAUUGUUAUUGGUGAGAAUACCACGAUUGUGUAGAUUUUAUACAUUUCAUUUUUAAAUCUAGCACAGGAUUUUAAAAUUAGCACAGGAACAUGUAGAUGAUCUGUAGAUAUUCACUCUGCCAUGUAGUAAUGAAGUUGCAGGGCAGAAACAUUUUUCCAUCCAGUUUGCUUUGGGGAAAAAAAUUCUAAACUUCAGAUUGCUCAUGUUCAUGUUGGUUAGUUGCUUUAUUUUCCAGGACGGUGUUCCCUUUGAAUAAAAAGCAUCCACAUUCUCUUUUUGCUCUUUGCUGUCAGUGCCUUCCCCUGCCAGAAACUGGGCUUUUGUUGGAGAAGUGACUGAUAUCCUAUGCAAGCCUUUUCUACAAGCUUACCAACCUGCAUCAAAUAGUCCUUCGUAAAACUCAUAUAGCUAAUUAUUUGUUUACAUAGUGGGUUUUUUGGUACCUUUGAAAUUGAACCCUCUGGAACUGUGAUUGGUUAUUUGUUGAGAACUUUAUAAUUGAACAGGUACUUUGUACUCGUUUGAUCUAUAUAAACACUUCUGUAGAUUCCUGUACUAAGUUGUAUUUAGUUUCACUGGUUCUAUUUUUCUACUGUUACCUCAAAAGGUGCAUAACAGUGAUGAACUUGGGCAUCUUUGAAAUAAACUGCUUCAAUAUAA
rnacentral:lncRNA from 1 species